UCCGCCUACAUAUCCCUAGUCUUGGGAAUCAAGUCACUUGUAUUUUUUUUAAAUCAAUUAGGCCCUCAUGGGCAUUUUAUUAUUGCAGAAAAAACAAAUAAAAGUCGCCCAGAUUGAGCCCAAAACGAUGGCCCAGCCCAAAAACAAAGUCAUAAAGGAAAACAAAAUAAAGCAAAAAAAUAAAAAAGGAAAGUAGACUAAAAUUUGUAAAGGGCAAAAUCAUUUCAUUUUCCCUAUUUCCUCAGUGUUGUCGGAUGAGCUUUCAAGCUCCUUCCAUGGCUUCUCUUCUUCAUCUUCAUCGAUCUGAUGCCUCUACUUCCACUCCGAUAAUGAUAAUAUACUCUGAUGAGUGUGAAGGUACUCCGUCUUCUUCUUUCGUUCCUGUCAAAGCCCAAAAGAUGUCCUGCUUGUGUAAGUAUGCAAUUCUUCAACUUUGAGCUCAUUUUCUUGAUAUUAUGCUUAUUCCUGUCUCUAUGUUGAUAUCCAUGGACGCUAUUCGAUGAAAUGUGACCUGCACAAGCUGUUGCACCUUUCUCUGACUUAUCCAUGUUUGUGCUUCCUAAGGUACCCCCUUUUGUUCAGCUACUACUCCAUUCUCCUGUUCUUCUGUUUCCUUGAUCAAAAUAUCAAAGGUAUUGUUUGUCUCCACCUCUUGCUUAUUAUUCUCCUUGCCUACCUCUGCAAUAAUGACCCCAUAUUUGUCUUUAAUAUAAUUGUUAUGCCUCCUCUUCAUCUAUUCUUUUUUCCCUGGAUAAUUACAUCCCCCCGAUUGUUUUUUUUUUUUCUACUGAAUUUCUACUUCUGCUUCUUGCUUCUUCUUCAACUCUUCUCUGUAUCGCUUCUGCAAUUCUGGGUUUAGUGCUUUGCAUUCAUUCUCUCUGUUGACACCUACUUUUUGACCUCCCAUAACUUAGUUUAAUUACUCGGAAUUCUUUGAUAUCAACCAGAGUGAAAUAUGUAUUUUUGGAAGUCGAAAUGAUUUUAUAAAAUUAUUCAUAUAAUAUUUUACCAUUCUUAUUUGGUAAAAAUAAUUCCUAAAAUAUUAUAAAUCAUUUAGAAAUUAAUUUACACAUUUUUACAAAAAAUAUGGCAUUUGCUAGAAUUAACUAAAAGAAAAACAAUUUAUAACAAUUAUCUACUUAAUUGUCUAAAUUGUUAGAAUGUCAACUAGCAAAUAUUUUACUCUGUUUAAUUCAAGGGGUCUAAUUAAUUAAACGAAUUAAUAAUUUUACCUCUCAAUUCUUAUUUGUUCAAUUUAUUAUAAUUUUAUCAUAAUUAAUUGAGUAUUUAAUUGUGAUUAAUUCUAUAAAUUGCUCAUUAAAUGCCUAAUCAAUUAAUAGUCCAAUCAUGGCCCAAUUGAAAAUCAAUUUCAAUAAUUCAGGUCAUUAUUGCAAAAUUAGCCUUUAAUUGUUAUUUAUUCUAAUUGUGACCUCAUAUGAGAGGGCCAAAUUCGUUAGUUUGAUUAAUUAAGGUCAUUUUUGCAAAUGAUACCAUGGGACAGCUAAUUGGACCAAAAAGGCCAUAAUUGAAAUAGCCUGGUCUUAAGAUCAAGUCAAUUAAAGGUCAUAUUCGCAAAAUCUAAGCUUUAUUUAUUUAAUUAGUCUUGCUUGGUUAUAAUUAGAGGUUUUAAAUUAAGUGACCUUUUCUUAAUUACGGUCAUUUAUUUAAACACGUGUUAAAUCCUCACAUAUAUACAUGUAUAUACACUGAUAUUUGCGUGUAUACAAGUACAUCAAGUAUAUAUACAUGUAUAUGAGGCCCCAGCUAUUUUAUUUCAGCUCUGGACCGAGCCCAGCCCAACAAGGGGCAUGACCCAGCCCCAUUGUGUGUUAAAGGGGUAAUACCCCGAUAUUCCUCAACAUUUUCACAACAAACACACCUCAGUAACCCUUAUCCCUUUCCCUCCUCGCGAAACCUUAGCCGCCAGGCUUGUCCUUCUCUCUCCUCGUCACGUUGCUUGAAAUGGCAAGAUUGAAGGGCCUAUGUUAUGUAUGUUGCUUUUGUGUUUUGAAAAAUGCAGGAGAAUUAAAUGCUCUACCAUUCCUCAACUAAAUCCACCGAAGUCCAACCCAAACAAGUUGGGUUGAAGCUUGAAGUCUUCCAAGUCCUAAUCUCUUCACGACUGUGCCAAAGAAAGCAGAUACCAUAGAGAAGACAUCCUCCCUUGCAAACAAAUUUAGAGGAAGCUCUGGGAAACUAAUCCAUGCCACAACAAUUGAAGUUUUCUCCUCAGGCUUGAACCGUGGAUCCUAAAUCAGUGGUCUCAUCUGACAAUACCUAUCCUGGACUUUCAAGUAGUAUGCUGGAGUUGACAUCAUCUUCACAUAAUCCUCUAAUAGAGACGACCUUGUCAAGAUAUAUCUCUCUUCAAUUAAUCCUAUUAUGUCUUUACCUUUUAUACCCCAUUGUAAAGGGAUGAUAUCUCUUAAUUGUUUGAUAUCAAUUAUGUCAUAAGAAAACUUUCCAAGGACUGCAUACUGUAAUUCCUCCUUAAUAAUCAUCUACUUUACUUCUGAA